rnacentral:rRNA from 1 species
AGUGAACGCUGGCGGUAGGCCUAACACAUGCAAGUCGAACGACAACACAGUAAGAGCUUGCUCUUACGGGUGGCGAGUGGCGGACGGGUGACGAAUACAUCGGAAUCUACUUUUUCGUGGGGGAUAACGUAGGGAAACUUACGCUAAUACCGCAUACGACCUACGGGUGAAAGCAGGGGAUCUUCGGACCUUGCGCGAUUCAAUGAGCCGAUGUCGGAUUAGCUAGUUGGCGGGGUAAAGGCCCACCAAGGCGACGAUCCGUAGCUGGUCUGAGAGGAUGAUCAGCCACACUGGAACUGAGACACGGUCCAGACUCCUACGGGAGGCAGCAGUGGGGAAUAUUGGACAAUGGGCGCAAGCCUGAUCCAGCCAUACCGCGUGGGUGAAGAAGGCCUUCGGGUUGUAAAGCCCUUUUGUUGGGAAAGAAAAGCAGCAGGUUAAUACCCCGCUGUUCUGACGGUACCCAAAGAAUAAGCACCGGCUAACUUCGUG